GUCUCUUUGAGCAUACUAACAAUAAAGAGUCGAACCUGCCCAGUGAAGUUUUAACGGCCGCGGUACUCUGACCGUGCGAAGGUAGCAUAAUCAUUUGCCUUAUAAUUGAAGGCUUGUAUGAAUGGUUUGACGAAGGCAUAACUGUCUCCUUUCCAAUAAUUAGAAUUUGAUUUACAGGUGAAGAAGCCUGUUUUACUACUGAAAGACGAGAAGACCCUGUCGAGCUUUGGGAAAAAGCAAAAUAUAAAAUAUAAUAGUAAAUAUUAAAUUGCUGUUUAUUCAUUAGUUGGGGCGACUUGGGAACAAAAAAAGCUUCCCUAAAUUACUGUACAUAUAGGUGUAGAUCCAGAAUAUUCUGAUUAAAAAAAUUAGUUACCGCAGGGAUAACAGCAUAAUCUCUUUUGAGAGACCUAAUCGAAAAAGGGGGUUGUGACCUCGAUGUUGGACUAGGUUAUCCUGAAGGUGCAGAAGCCUUCAAGGGUUGGUCUGUUCGACCAUAAAAAUCCUACA
rnacentral:rRNA from 1 species